AUUGGACGCUGGCGGCAGGCCUAACACAUGCAAGUCGAGCGGUUGAGGUCGCUUGCUACCGAUGCAGCGGCGAACGGGUGAGUAAUACAUGGGAAUCUGCCUGGUAGUGGGGGACAACGUCUCGAAAGUGACGCUAAUACCGCAUACGCCCUACGGGGGAAAGGGGGGGAUCUUCGGACCUCUCGCUAUCAGAUGAGCCCAUGUCCGAUUAGCUAGUUGGUGGGGUAAAGGCUCACCAAGGCGACGAUCUGUAACUGGUCUGAGAGGAUGACCAGUCACACUGGAACUGAGACACGGUCCAGACUCCUACGGGAGGCAGCAGUGGGGAAUAUUGGACAAUGGGCGCAAGCCUGAUCCAGCCAUGCCGCGUGUGUGAAGAAGGCCUUAGGGUUGUAAAGCACUUUCAGUGGGGAGAAAGGUUAUUCACCUACUACGUGAGUAAAUUGAUGUUACCCACAGAAGAAGCACCGGCUAACUCCGUGCCAGCCGCCGCCGUAA
rnacentral:rRNA from 1 species